rnacentral:rRNA from 1 species
ACUUAAAUUGAAGAGUUUGAUCAUGGCUCAGAUUGAACGCUGGCGGCAGGCCUAACACAUGCAAGUCGAGCGGUAGCACAGAGAGCUUGCUCUCGGGUGACGAGCGGCGGACGGGUGAGUAAUGUCUGGGAAACUGCCUGAUGGAGGGGGAUAACUACUGGAAACGGUAGCUAAUACCGCAUAACGUCGCAAGACCAAAGUGGGGGACCUUCGGGCCUCAUGCCAUCAGAUGUGCCCAGAUGGGAUUAGCUAGUAGGUGGGGUAACGGCUCACCUAGGCGACGAUCCCUAGCUGGUCUGAGAGGAUGACCAGCCACACUGGAACUGAGACACGGUCCAGACUCCUACGGGAGGCAGCAGUGGGGAAUAUUGCACAAUGGGCGCAAGCCUGAUGCAGCCAUGCCGCGUGUGUGAAGAAGGCCUUCGGGUUGUAAAGCACUUUCAGCGGGGAGGAAGGCGAUAAGGUUAAUAACCUUGUCGAUUGACGUUACCCGCAGAAGAAGCACCGGCUAACUCCGUGCCAGCAGCCGCGGUAAUACGGAGGGUGCAAGCGUUAAUCGGAAUUACUGGGCGUAAAGCGCACGCAGGCGGUCUGUCAAGUCGGAUGUGAAAUCCCCGGGCUUAACCUGGGAACUGCAUUCGAAACUGGCAGGCUAGAGUCUUGUAGAGGGGGGUAGAAUUCCAGGUGUAGCGGUGAAAUGCGUAGAGAUCUGGAGGAAUACCGGUGGCGAAGGCGGCCCCCUGGACAAAGACUGACGCUCAGGUGCGAAAGCGUGGGGAGCAAACAGGAUUAGAUACCCUGGUAGUCCACGCCGUAAACGAUGUCGAUUUGGAGGUUGUGCCCUUGAGGCGUGGCUUCCGGAGCUAACGCGUUAAAUCGACCGCCUGGGGAGUACGGCCGCAAGGUUAAAACUCAAAUGAAUUGACGGGGGCCCGCACAAGCGGUGGAGCAUGUGGUUUAAUUCGAUGCAACGCGAAGAACCUUACCUGGUCUUGACAUCCACAGAACUUUCCAGAGAUGGAUUGGUGCCUUCGGGAACUGUGAGACAGGUGCUGCAUGGCUGUCGUCAGCUCGUGUUGUGAAAUGUUGGGUUAAGUCCCGCAACGAGCGCAACCCUUAUCCUUUGUUGCCAGCGGUUCGGCCGGGAACUCAAAGGAGACUGCCAGUGAUAAACUGGAGGAAGGUGGGGAUGACGUCAAGUCAUCAUGGCCCUUACGACCAGGGCUACACACGUGCUACAAUGGCAUAUACAAAGAGAAGCGACCUCGCGAGAGCAAGCGGACCUCAUAAAGUAUGUCGUAGUCCGGAUUGGAGUCUGCAACUCGACUCCAUGAAGUCGGAAUCGCUAGUAAUCGUAGAUCAGAAUGCUACGGUGAAUACGUUCCCGGGCCUUGUACACACCGCCCGUCACACCAUGGGAGUGGGUUGCAAAAGAAGUAGGUAGCUUAACCUUCGGGAGGGCGCUUACCACUUUGUGAUUCAUGACUGGGGUGAAGUCGUAACAAGGUAACCGUAGGGGAACCUGCGGUUGGAUCACCUCCUUACCUUAAAGAA